rnacentral:lncRNA from 1 species
GUGGCAGGUUUUGAAAGCUCCCACAUGACUUAAACAUGUAUCAAAGUCUAAGAACUGCUGAGCUGGAGGAUUUGGGAGUUUUGAAUUAUUGAAUGGUUCCCCAGAGCCCUUGUCUUUGGCUUAAAACAAAAUGUGGAGGAAUGGCAUCUGCUUCUAGGACAGUGUUCUCCUUGCUUCCUGGGAUCCUGGAGCAGAGAUCUGGCUCAGUCAGAACUAUCGCCCCUUUCCAGAGAUGUCGUCAAUACGGGCAAUAGUCAGGGGGAUGGAGACAGAGGAUGGGGAACAGUGGUGAUUUUCACCCAGAGCCGGAAAACCGUGUGCCGUCAUUGGAUCUCACAGAACACAGUCCAGCUGUGAUCACCAACCCACUUGCUCCCCUGUAAAUUGACCAUGUCACAGCUAAUUCCUCUCGGAGGUUUGACAUCACUUAUCCCCUCCGACUAAUGAGGAUCGGAAGGGCAUUUGGAAGUCAUC